rnacentral:rRNA from 1 species
GACGAACGCUGGCGGCGUGCUUAACACAUGCAAGUCGAACGGAAAGGCCCUGCUUUUGUGGGGUGCUCGAGUGGCGAACGGGUGAGUAACACGUGAGUAACCUGCCCUUGACUUUGGGAUAACUUCAGGAAACUGGGGCUAAUACCGGAUAGGAGCUCCUGCUGCAUGGUGGGGGUUGGAAAGUUUCGGCGGUUGGGGAUGGACUCGCGGCUUAUCAGCUUGUUGGUGGGGUAGUGGCUUACCAAGGCUUUGACGGGUAGCCGGCCUGAGAGGGUGACCGGCCACAUUGGGACUGAGAUACGGCCCAGACGCCUACGGGAGGCAGCAGUGGGGAAUAGUGCACGAUGGGCGGAAGCCUGAUGCAGCAGCGCCGCGUGCGGGAUGACGGCCUUCGGGUUGUAAACCGCUUUCGCCUGUGACGAAGCGUGAGUGACGGUAAUGGGUAAAGAAGCACCGGCUAACUACGUG